rnacentral:rRNA from 1 species
CGGUAUAAGGUGUGGUUAGCUUUGUAUUAGGAUUUACUCCGAAAGCAAGGAAACUUACAACAAAGAGUCCCUCCCGACUGUUUACCAAAAACACAGCACUCUGCUAACUCGUAAGAGGAUGUAUAGGGUGUGACGCCUGCCCGGUGCUCGAAGGUUAAUUGAUGGGGUUAGCAUUAGCGAAGCUCUUGAUCGAAGCCCGAGUAAACGGCGGCCGUAACUAUAACGGUCCUAAGGUAGCGAAAUUCCUUGUCGGUUAAAUACCGACCUGCAUGAAUGGCGUAACGAGAUGGGAGCUGUCUCAAAGAGGGAUCCAGUGAAAUUGUAGUGGAGGUGAAAAUUCCUCCUACCCGCGGCAAGACGGAAAGACCCCGUGGACCUUUACUACAGCUUGACACUGCUACUUGGAUAAGAAUGUGCAGGAUAGGUGGGAGGCUUUGAGUAUAUGACGCCAGUUGUAUAUGAGCCAUUGUUGAGAUACCACUCUUUCUUAUUUGGGUAGCUAACCAGCUUGAGUUAUCCUCAAGUGGGACAAUGUCUGGUGGGUAGUUUGACUGGGGCGGUCGCCUCCCAAAUAAUAACGGAGGCUUACAAAGGUUGGCUCAGAACGGUUGGAAAUCGUUCGUAGAGUAUAAAGGUAUAAGCCAGCUUAACUGCAAGACAUACAAGUCAAGCAGAGACGAAAGUCGGUCUUAGUGAUCCGGUGGUUCUGUGUGGAAGGGCCAUCGCUCAAAGGAUAAAAGGUACCCCGGGGAUAACAGGCUGAUCUCCCCCAAGAGCUCACAUCGACGGGGAGGUUUGGCACCUCGAUGUCGGCUCAUCGCAUCCUGGGGCUGGAGCAGGUCCCAAGGGUAUGGCUGUUCGCCAUUUAAAGCGGUACGCGAGCUGGGUUCAGAACGUCGUGAGACAGUUCGGUCCCUAUCUGCCGUGGGCGUAAGAAGAUUGAAGAGAUUUGACCCUAGUACGAGAGGACCGGGUUGAACAAACCACUGGUGUAGCUGUUGUUCUGCCAAGAGCAUCGCAGCGUAGCUAAGUUUGGAAAGGAUAAACGCUGAAAGCAUCUAAGCGUGAAGCCAACUCUAAGAUGAAUCUUCUCUAAGCUCUCUAGAAGACUACUAGUUUGAUAGGCUGGGUGUGUAAUGGAUGAAAGUCCUUUAGCUGACCAGUACUAAUAGAGCGUUUGGCUUAUCUUU